rnacentral:rRNA from 1 species
UACAGAGGUCUCAAGCGUUGUUCGGAAUGAUUGGGCGUAAAGCGUCUGUAGGUGGCUUUUUAAGUCCGCCGUCAAAUCCCAGGGCUCAACCCUGGACAGGCGGUGGAAACUACCAAGCUGGAGUACGGUAGGGGCAGAGGGAAUUUCCGGUGGAGCGGUGAAAUGCGCAGAUAUCGGGAAGAACACCCGUGGCGAAGGCGGCUCUCUGGGACGGUACUGACGCUGAGACGCGAAAGCGUGGGGAGCGAACAGG